GAGAGAGAGAGAGAGAGAGAGAUCACCUUUCCUAAUUUAUGUAGUUCAUCUCCCCCAUGAGAAAAUAUUAUAGUUCUAGACUUUUCUUCAUGGGUCUUGCCACUUUUACAGUUUUACUCUCCCAUGCAUCUGAACAGUGGUGUUGGUCUAUAUGUCGAUCAAGGCAGCAUGGGUGUCAGACUUUGGGAGGGUCACAGAAGCCCCUGAUUCCAGGGAUGUCUGCUCUAAUCUCUUCCUUUUGAGUGAAGCAUAAGCCCGUGACCUGCUUGUAGGCAAAGAAAAAUGGCAGAGGUUGUUGUCCUUUUUGUGGUUGUGACGUGCUGCAUCUGAUUGUGGUUUUUCUGUUCCCUUCAGAAAUUCUCCUCUUUGCCGGCUUUGGUGGACCAACUGCUUCAUGGUAACUUACCCUAUGGAUGCUUUUAUCUGGAAAGGAACCUAGGUCCUCAGUGCAACUGCUUGCAAGGAACCAAACCCCACUACCACCUCCUCAGUGAUCAUGGAAGUGUGUCUUCCCUUGGUUGAGUCUUCAGAUGAAAUCUAAGGCCAACUGACCCUUUCUCUGAAGCUCAGUGAGAGAAGGAGGCUUUUCCUGGUUAGUUUCAUAGAUCAAGUAAUCAUGGAAACCUCUCUGCCGAGUCAUCUUUCCAUCCACCUUGUCUCCUGAGAGACUAUUAGCAACAUGGCUUCACCCAGGCCAAUAAUGACCGACAAUUUAAACCUUGUCCUCAAAGAAGCAAGCAAGGUGGUGAAUCACGAGCAGAGUGCUGAGUUCAGGUAUAUUGCUCUGAGGACUUCGCAUCUAUGAACGUAUUUAACUGUGCAGUAAUUAUGGUGAAUUGUGCACAGAACAUCCCACUUCACGGAUGAGAAGUAGGAGCCUGUAGGGAGAUUGCUGUCAAGAAUCAGAUGAUAAGGGUUGCCAUGGCAGGAACACCAGAGUGGAGACCGGGAUGCCUUGUCCAAUCAUGACAAGGAGCCAUUGUUUAAAUGGAGACAUGGUAGCCGACAAAUUGUGUUGAAUGUCAAAAGGAAUUUUCUAACCUGGUACGGAAAGAUGGCUCAGUGGAUGCCAAUAUGUGCGGAGUAAGCCGGAUGACCUGCCUCCAGUCCCUGAGUCCAUGACGGAAAAAGAGAGAAGCAACUCUGAAAGUUGUUCUCUGACAUCCUUGGGUUCACCAUGGCAUAGACACACCCCUCUUUACCCCCAUAUUCUCACUUGCAAUCAAAAUAUAAAUGAAAUAAUUUGUCUUUUAAAACAGAGAAAUUUCCAAGUUAAAUAUUUAGUAUAGAUAACUAAUUUAAUGCAGGGAAAACAUUUGAAAAAAAUUAAAUUUAAGUUUAAAAAUUGAAAGUUAAAAAACCUGUGGGACAAAGGUUUGGGGGAGAUUCUCUCUGUUGAGUUAAAGAUACCGCAGAAGUUUUCUUGGCCC